rnacentral:ribozyme from 12 species
CAAAAAAAAAAAAAAAAAAAAAAAAAAAAAAAA